GAUGAACGCUGGCGGUAUGCUUUACACAUGCAAGUCGAACGCAAAUUUUUAAUUUGAGUGGCGGACGGGUGAGUAACACGUGAGAAUUCGCCGAUGAACGCUGGCGGUAUGCUUUACACAUGCCCCGUCGAACGCAAGUAGAAAGCAACCUGCAGUGGCGGACGGGUGAGUAACACGUGAGAAUUCGCCUUUAGGCGGGGAAUAACCAUCGGGAAACAAUGGCUAAUGCCCCAUAUGCUCGGUAAGAGUGAAGGGAGUAAUCCCACCCAAAGGAGAAGCUCGCGGCUGAUUAACUAGUUGGUAAGGUAAUGGUUUACCAAGGCGACGAUCAGUAGCUGGGUUUGAGAGAAACGAUCAGCCACACUGGAACUGAGACACGGUCCAGACUCCUACGGGAGGCAGCAGUGGGGAAUUUUCCGCAAUGGGCGAAAGCCUGACGGAGCAAUACCGCGUGAGGGAUGACAGCCUUUGGGUCGUAAACCUCUUUUAUCAAGGAGGAAGUU
rnacentral:rRNA from 1 species